CACGUAGGGUGCGAGCGUUGUCCGGAAUUAUUGGGCGUAAAGAGCUCGUAGGCGGUCCGUCACGUCGGAUGUGAAAUUCCAGGGCUCAACCCUGGACCUGCAUUCGAUACGGGCGGACUAGAGUUCGGUAGGGGAGACUGGAAUUCCUGGUGUAGCGGUGAAAUGCGCAGAUAUCAGGAGGAACACCGAUGGCGAAGGCAGGUCUCUGGGCCAUAACUGACGCUGAGAAGCGAAAGCAUGGGGAGCGAACAGG
rnacentral:rRNA from 1 species